rnacentral:rRNA from 1 species
CAUGCCGUAAACGGUGGGCGCUAGGUGUAGGGGGCUUCCACGUCUUCUGUGCCGUAGCUAACGCAUUAAGCGCCCCGCCUGGGGAGUACGGCCGCAAGGCUAAAACUCAAAGGAAUUGAC